GUUUUCUUCUAAUGGCUUUAAGUAGAAAAUUAACAUUUUCUGAAUCUAGUGAUUUGAUUUUUUUUUUCUUCUCAUGAUAGCAUGUUGGAAUUUUAGGAAAAUAUUGUGACUUACUCGAAUGUGCUGGAGGGAACGGUGUGAACCAACGUUCUCUGCUACCUAGAGACUGGAUGCCACUGCAGAUUUGCCCCUUUCUAAAGCCCCACCAGCGCAGUCCAUCCCCAAAGAACCGCAAACCAGAAUCCUGGAUAUAAUUUGAUCUUCAUUAUGGAGAGGGCAGCGGAAUCAGAUAAUAGAAGUCCUGAAGAGUUUAAGUAACAGAGGAUCAACCUCGCGUUCCCCAUCCGGCCCUGCUCCCCAGCUGAGUAUAAUUAUCUGAGUUCCUAAGCACUGCAGUGAUAUGUGAAGAAAUCCAAAGAAGAAAUACAAUCUGUCUUCAUUGUCUUUCGUCAUUCGCCCUCGAUUAAAUAUUUCUUACCCUGGGCUAAGGUAGCCUGGGGUGGAACAGGCCAUGGGCUGCAGGCCAGAAGAGGUCACCUUACACUUCCUAGCUUGAGGCCUUUGCAGAAUCCAUACAAGCUGUGAAAUGAUUCCUUUCCAUGAAGCCCCGGAACAAAGCCGCUCGCUCUCCGCUUUCUGAAUCAUCAAAACUCAUUCAAGUUACAUAAACAAGCACAUGGACAAAGAAAACAGUUCAGUAGUUACCAGGGG
rnacentral:lncRNA from 1 species